AUGUACCUGGAGUGUUUGCCAGCUGUUAAUGUCCUCGAGCCUAAUUUCUAACCCCGGAAGUUAUCCGCGGGUGCCAGUGAGCAGGUCCGCUUGACGGAAAGCCUUAGGCAUCUCGAUAACUACCACCUUGAGCCGUUCGGUUCAAGGGCCACGACGGCAGCGGCACUCUGGGGACUUA
rnacentral:other from 1 species